CAAGCUGAAAACACAGGUUCUCAUUUGAUCACCAAAGUUAAGCAGUAUCAAGCUUGGUUAGUACUUAGAUGAGGGACCACUUGGAAACACUGGGUAC